rnacentral:rRNA from 1 species
GACGAACGCUGGCGGCGUGCUUAACACAUGCAAGUCGAACGCUGAAGCUCAGCUUUUGUUGGGUGGAUGAGUGGCGAACGGGUGAGUAACACGUGAGUAACCUGCCUCCUUCUUUGGGAUAACGCCCGGAAACGGGUGCUAAUACUGGAUAUUCACUGGUCUUCGCAUGGGGGUUGGUGGAAAGGGUUUUUCUGGUGGGGGAUGGGCUCGCGGCCUAUCAGCUUGUUGGUGGGGUGAUGGCCUACCAAGGCUUUGACGGGUAGCCGGCCUGAGAGGGUGACCGGUCACAUUGGGACUGAGAUACGGCCCAGACUCCUACGGGAGGCAGCAGUGGGGAAUAUUGCACAAUGGGCGCAAGACUGAUGCAGCGACGCAGCGGGAGGGAUGGAGGCCUUCGGGUUGUGAACCUCUUUCGCUCAUGGUCAAGCCGCAACAAUGGUUGUGGUGAGGGUAGUGGGUAAAGAAGCGCCGGCUAACUACGUG